CUAACAUGCAGUCGAGCGAUCUGUAGCAAUACAGGGAGUGGAGGACGGGUGAGGGGCACGUAAGAAUCUACCUCGAAGAGCGUGACACCUUUGGGAAACCGGGGCUAAUACCGCAUAGUACAGAGAUGUUAAAGGGCUAGCACUAGUCGCUUCGAGAUUAGCCUGCGGUCUAUCAGCUUGUUGGUUAGGGAAUGGCUCACCAAGGCUGACAAGCAUAGCCGGUCUUAAAGGAUGAUCCGCCACACUGGCACUGGAACACCGGCCAGACUCCUACGGGAGGGAGCCG
rnacentral:rRNA from 1 species